GGCGCCACUGUACUCCAGCCUGGGCAACAGAGCGGGCCUCUGUCUUAAAUGACCAAAUUAUUUUUCAUCAUUAAAGCCCGGGAAGCCUCCAAACUGCCACCGAGGCAAGUUCCUUCCGGUGACUCCUGUAGCCAUGAUGUGCAGGCACUUGGGAGGAACAGCCUGUUAACAUCAGAGAGGCUGUUGCAUGUGAACAAGUUUACAGAGAAGAGGAAAGAAUUGGAUAGAACUUCAGUUACACUUCAUUGUAAGCAGAACUUUAACAGAGCCUCUGUUUUUCCUUGAAUAAAAAAGCGAAUAGUGGGAAUAAAAGGUUUAGAAAAGAUUUCUUUCUUCACCCUUUUCAUCUUAAAGCCUGAAGAUGUUGUAAUGAGAAAAAUAUUGUGACAUUCAUUUCUGAAGGUUACUAUUACACACACGUGAAUUAUGUGAGCGAAUGGAUGGAUGCCUGGCAGAUUAAAAUGUAGAGUUCCAGAAGCAUUCGUAACCACCAUGUGGCUAUGACACAGCGGCACAUCAUUGGGCUGGGAGUGAAAGGAUGAAGGUUCAGACUUCAGGUCUGGGUCUGGGAGCCUCACCCAACCACCCUGACGGAAAACAGGAUCUCUGAAUCCCGUCUACCUCUACAACUCAGUACCACACAUUGUGCAGCUAAGUAACUUGCAAGUUAUAUGAAACUGUUUUCACAGGACCAGCAGAGUUACCACUGCUUAGUGGUCCUGAAUCUUCAUUACAUUUUUACAGAGAAUAUAUUUGCAUGUGACAUGAUUAAAAAUCUACCUCGUGUUUUUACGGUCUUGGUAGGUUUUAAGGUCGUUUCUUACAUGCUGUUUUCCUUGCUGUGCAGCCAACCCGGGUGUGACUGGCAGACAUGCUGAGGGCAGGCUCUGGAGUGUGAAGUCAAGGUCAAGCCUCCCUGGCUCUGAAUCCUGGCUCCACCACCUACUGACUGUGUAACCCCGGGCGUGUCCUUAAGCUCCGUGGGCCUCAGUUUCCUUAUCUGUAGGAUGAGGAUAAAAAUAGAACUUACCUCCAGGGCUGCUGUGAAGAUUAAACAAAUGGACGGAUGUGCAGUUUGUGGUAGCUCCUGAGCGGGCCCUGCAUGUCAGUGUGCUGUUGUCGCUGACGAUGAAACUGGCUUAGAGAGGUUGGGUGAUAGGCGCAAGAACAAAUUAGCAAAAAAGACGAGGCAGAACUCAAACAUAGCCUUAGGACUUCUCAGUGGCUGGUGCCCUUCGGUUGUGAGACCACUCUCUCCCCUGCCUAUAAAAGUGCCACGAAAGAGUGCUCUCCAUUUGUUUGUUUAAAAGAGAACUGAGUAAAUGUUAAACGUGAAGGACAUUUGUCAUGGGGUUUUACUUUGUUUGGAGAGGGUGGACUCUAUAACUCUUGAAAGGUGUCCACAGCAUAGCAAGGGCCUGGACAGCCUCCAUGGUUUCAUCACAUUCUCAAUAUCCAGCCUUAGAAACAGCUCCCUUUAGGUCCCCAAAUUAACAGGAGUUUCUAAAGGAUAGCAGCUUUUUUUGCAACUGCUGCAUCUGUUAGAUUCAUGUUCUCUUUGCUGCCCCCUCCCCAAGCUUCUACUUCAUGAUCUUUUUGUUUUGCUCGACUUUUCCUCUUUUUAAAACCUCUGCAUUGGCCACCCAGGACUUAAGAGGAACUUUCCUGGAAAGCCGUCUGAAACAGGAACAAAUUGCACAGAAACACUGAGAGCUGGGAACUUGUGUGUAUACCUGUCAUAGUGGGAGACGGAGGCUUCCUUCUGAGUAAGAGAGAAGAGUGGAUAUUCUAAUCGCUGCGUAGUGGUCAGGCCUCUUUUGCUGAGCUUGGUAUCAAUGGGAUUUUAAAAAAUGGUAGCUAUUUGAAAGUACUCUCCAUGUAAAGGGUUCCUGUUCCUUUGGCCCUAUCACAGAAUAUUCCUAUUUUUCUAUUGAGGUUCAUAAGGUUUCAUGGGCAAGGGCUGAGAUGACUAUUGUGUAGUGUAGUUGUUUUAAAUUAAAAAUUUACCUCUAGUUAUAGGUGCUACCUUUUACUUACCCUCAAUUUGGAGAUUACAUCAUGCAGGCUGGGCACAGUGGUUCAUGCCUGUAACCCCAGUGCUCUAGGAGGCCAAGGCAGGAGAGUCGCUAAAGGCCAGGAGUUACAGACCACCCUGGGCAACAGAGCAAGGCGUCAUCUCUACCAAAAAAAAUUAGCUGGGUAUGGUGGCACUUACCUGUAGUUUCAGCUACUCCGGAGGCUGAGAUGAAAUGAAGUCAGACCCUGCCUCUAAAAUCCAUCAAUCAAUUAUGUGUCUCAGGCAAAUGCUUUCCAUACUCUUCUUGUUAAAAUAUCAGUUUGGUAAAGAUGAUAAAAGCGUAUCACAUCCCAGGAAGUUGAGGCUUCUGUGAGCCAGGAUCGCGCCACUGUACUCCAGCCUGGGGGACAAGAGUGAGACCCCAUCUCAAAAAAAAUGAAAAUUCCCUUCCAGAGUAUAAAUCACAGAUUAUGUUUUUAUAUUUUUUUUUCAUAUUUAUCUUGAGUAUCCAAAAAUGUGAACUAAAAGAGUUGGGGUCUAAGUGGCAAAGUGCUGCCGUGUUACAGGUUAAGGGCUUCCAUGGAUUGUGUGAUAAAUACAGGUGUGAAUUUGGGUAAUGUGUUUUAUUUUUCAGUGCCCAUUAAGUAGAAGUUUAUAUUUUCCUCCCUCCUCCUUCAAGAGGCCCCCUCCCCACCGUGUGGCACAUGGAGGCCCCAAGUUGGAAGCACAUUCACAGCCUGAAGCUGAAGGACAGGCUCUGAAAAAUCUAUCUUUCAGCAAAACACCUACCAAUCUCAGAAAGUGAGCUUUGUCACCACUGAUACUCUGUCAGGUGGGAUGAAAGCAAUUUUUCUUACUCAUUUUGCCCAGUUGUCAAGAAAUACUGCUCUUCUCUCUGACAUAAAUUAACAGGUUUGGCUACAGCCUAGAGAAAUACAAAAUGUCACAUUUGAGCCUUAGUGGCCGGUUUUCAAAGGGGGGUGCCUGAGUGUGAGCACCAUGUCGGCUGUUGUGUUAAUGUGGCUGGGUCUCAUAAAUAGGUAUUUUUCUGCCCCUGUGAUGGACAAAUCUGAAACAGUUUUUCCAUCUCACAACCCCAGGGGAUGGUAUUUAGAGGCUGAUUUUUGGCAUCUCAGUUCCUGGUAAGGAAGAUGAAUUCCGUAUUUGAAAUUUGGGGACAAACAAAAAUAACUCUUUCUCUUUCCUUGAAGGGUUAAUGCUCCAACCAGCCUCAGAUUGGUUCGCUUGAAUCUUAAAAUUACUUUUCUGGUCACGCGCGCCGAAGGUCUAAGCAUUUGUGAAAUGUCUUUUUUCCCCCCCACCCCUUGAUGCUGUUCUCUUUGGGCUGUCUUAAUUACACAGGGGUUGAGAAACCAAAUUAAAAUUAGGCGUGUCUGGUCAACAGUGAUCACGUUGCAUGCUUUUAGCUUUGCUUGUUGAAGUUGCUUCUCCUCCCUGAGUGGCUUUCCUCCUAUUUUUUUUUUUUAAAGGAAAUAUCAUAAGCUCUUUCAGAAAUACUCACAGGAAGUGAGUGUCCGUAUGCUGGUUACUCACCAGCAACUGAGUGUUGGCAGGUGGAGAAUGCUACCGCAGCCCGCCCAGACGGAUCUGCAGACUGGCCCCAUUGCAGAGGAUUAGACACAGGGUGCGUGGAUCAUAGGGUUUUUGUACAGAAGGCAGUUUUAAGAGGAAAUUGGUCACUGCAUGUCAUCUCGAGGGGUGGUGAUUCAGGGAGCAGGGCUGGGGGUCAGAAGGCACGUGGCUGCCAUCUCGGAGGUUCCUGCUCACUUCUCAGAGGGCAGGCUGGCUUCUAAAAAUCAAUGCUCCCUCCACCCCCAAACAGCGAUUCUUCUGCAGUGAAUCACUUCCAGAAAUGAAUAGCCACAGUUUUUUGGAAUGAACGUUGUGAAAUCCCUCCUUUAUAAUGGCAGGUUUUCAGUUGGUGGUUUUAUCAGAAUUUCUCAAGAUCAAAACGAAACCUUCUCUUUAAAAAGGAAAGAAAGUACUAUCGAUACAGAAAGCAAAAGUAUUUCCAGUCUCCUACUGAACUGUCACGGCAGACCUCUCUGUAUCUAUAUUUAGAGAUGUAUGUCCAUAUAUUUGCCUGAAUGUGUGAGUUCUUGGAAGUAUGGAUUCGUUGCCAGGAGCUGGUGAUUUCCUAUGCAGAGGUCGCUCACUACAAGAAAUGUUACACUCGGUGAGUAGGUGGUAGCUUCUGAAGAUUAUUGGUAACCCAGUGUUGGUCGUCUUGAGUCAUGGAUUUAAAUGAUGGCUAGCAAGCUCUUAAAUACCUUCUGCUUUAUAUGAUACAGAGCAUGGAACUGUAGGACGCACAGACGGCUGUGAAGGGUUUUUAAGAAUAUGGAUUCAUUGAAUAAUCAGUGAAUCUUGUGAAUAUACACCUUUGGAGGAGGAAAGGGUGUUUUACAGGAGGAAGUGGUUUGUAGGGGCUUUUAAAGGUACAGUUAUCGCUUUUCUAUAUUUAUUUUCAGCAUCGUUCAGUCCUCCUGUAUGAAAGAAAUAAACAGUCUCAACAGAGAAAAAGUUAUGCUGACUCUUUAAAUGAAGAAGCUCAAUCCUCAUGUUACUCUUAACUGGACUUUUUUCUUCCUAAAUAUUCAUAAGGGAAACUAUCCCAUGAAGGCAGCUAACUUUCUGGCAAUCUCUACGAUGUGUCUCAUUCAGAACCUGGUGGGCUCUCCAUGCAUUAUUGGCAGCACUUUUAUCCAGGGGCACAGAGAGGGAAUAGGGUUACUGGAAACAGGGAGUGUAGCUCAAGGAAUUGUUCUCUCUCUGGAGUGGAUAAGUUGUUUGACCUACUGACUCAUUUCACAGGAAUUAGGAAAACAACCUAGUGUGGUUUUUAUUGUUAGUCCUGGAGGAUUCCAAAAUCUGUGUGCCUACAAAUAAGAUGAGCUGGGGAAAGGGAGCGCUGGCAUUUGGCGUUUCUACUUGCCUCUUUUCCUGGUGGAAUCCGAUCCUCUGCUUCCAGGACAAGUCCUGCGCUUGGGAUCCUUUGUACAACCAUUCACAGGUGAGUAUGUAUGACAGCAAUUUCUGAUUUCACUAGUUCUUGCUUCUAAACGCCUAAAUGGUGCUUUGUCUAGGGAAAGGCUUUAAAGGGCAUUUUCCCCCGGUACGUUUAUAAUACAUUUCAUAUUUACCUACAGAAAAUACGGUGGAUGUGAUAAUAAUUAUACAAGACAACCCACAGACAACAAUGAAAGUUAAGAAUUAAGAUACAUUCUGAUAGAUUUUUACAGCAUAUUGACAUAAAGGCAGUUUUGGUUUUGACAUACGUACACCAAAAUGAUAUUUGUAAUGCUAUUUAAACACAAGUAUACAAGGCACCAGUGUAUUCUGGCAAAAAUAAUAUAAUUAUCAACAGUUAAUGAAAGGCUUGUGCUUUGAGCUACUAACAAAAUGUUAAUAUGUAGAGAAACUUGUGAUUCAUGAUGUUAUGGUUUUCAACCAAUGUUAUCAAAUCAGCUAAAAAUAUCAGAAGAGGACAAAGAAUGUAUGUUAAACCUGGAUAAAAGCAGAAACUGAGAAAAGAUAGCUUUGAUAUUUAACGUGUUAGAUUAUGGCCUCUAUAUAAUGUCACAUAUGCUGGACUGCCCCCCCCCAAAAAAAAUCACACCCUCAAAUUAUGAUCUUAAUUAUUCAAAGGAUGUUUGGCGUGUUGGUGGUAUAGUGGUGAGCGUAAUUGCCUUCCAGAAGAUGGUUGGUGUAUAAUUACUAGAGAAUUUCUUGCUUUCUUGGGAGGUGGCUUAGUAAAAGGUUGAGUCAGACAUACUGAGGCUGUUUAUUCAGUGUGCUAUGCUGUGCUGUGUCCGAAUGCCUGGGAGUUAAGAGUUGUUAACCUUUCCAGGGUGCUAGAUCCCUUUGAGAUUAUGAUGGAAGCCAUGAAUCCUUUUCCCACACCUGUAUGCAAACAUUUGCCUGCCCAUUUACAGACCCAAAGAAGCACAUCCAUGUACCCCACGUGAAGAAGGCUGCCCUGGACUAAGCCCUCACUGUGACUCUGCUGUUCUUAAGCUUCCCAGGAAACACUGUUAUUUAAAAAGACGAGCCAUCCAGGUCAAAAAGAAGUCAUUGUGGUUACUAGGUGGGGGUGCAAAGCCAAAGACAAAGGGUGGGGAAAAUACAUGACUAAUAAUAAAUAAAGAGCAUGGUUAAUACCAGAGCCUCCAAACUGAUAGCCCAGAAUCCCUCAACAUUUAGCCACGAGUAUUUGUAAAGUACGUUGUGAAUUCAGGUGGAGGGCUGAAGACUCAACAUUAAGCAGUUGGGCAGAGUUUUCAUAUGUAUAUUUGUCUAUGCCUUUUGCACAAUGUAAAACUAGGAAAUCUCUUUUCAUUUUUCUAUUGUGCACACUACCACAUUAGGUAGGACUCAAAAUCAUCUCAACUCCAGGAGUAUAAUUCGUAACAAUUAUAACAAAGCAUAAAAAUGAUUCUACAUUAGCAGAAGAAAUGUAGUAGGGAUAGAUUUAAAAUAGCAUGGUUGAGUACAAAAGAAACAUCAUUUUUUUUUAAAAAAUGCAGCCUUUAUCACUCAUCAGCUAAACUUAAGUCAAUGCUGUGAGGCCGUUGUGGGAAAAAAAUAGUCAUGAUUCUUGGGUAUAUUAAAAGGAGCAUGACACAGAAGGGUAAGAAAACAAGACUUAGUGUUCGUCAGAUUCAUCAUUGUGUCCUGUUUGAGUCACACUUGAAAAAAGAUUUUGGACAAUUGUGAAAAGCUGAUACACAAGCAACAGAAAUUACACGCCCUUCCAGGAAAAGAUAAGGCAACUGAGAGUUUUAUUCCACACAAGGCUAGAGGAUUUCUUGCUAAUGGCCUUUAAGUAGUAACAGUCUGGUUUAUCCUUAUAUUCCUGGGGCCUUCCACACUGUCUGGUGCUCCGUACUUGAGAUGAUUGUUGUGUUUAGUGAUAUGAGUAAUGUUCCUGUGAUAGACUUAGCAGGAAUAAGUAAGUUCAAAUAAAACCAGCGAUAGUGUCAUGACAGACAACAUAUAAUACAUGAAUUUGCUGGGUGAUUAAUACACAAGGAUGACUGUCUCACUUGUGAGGAUGAUAAAAUACUUCAGCAGCUAACUGGGGGAAGCUACAAAAUCUUGGUUUGAUACCUCUUUCAGGAUGAAAGCAGAUUAAGUCUCCUGGGGUGGUGGAAACAUGUAUUCAUUCAUUCUACAAACCCUGAGGGCCUGCUUGGCUAGGUGCUCACGGUCUGGUAGAGGAGACAAAGAUACAGAAACAGAGUCACAGUGUGUGAUGAGUGCCAUGGGAGCAUAAAAACAGCAUGUGCAGGGCUUGUGACACUCAACCUCCACCCCGCACAGCUUCCAGUGGAGGCAAAGUCACAAUUGACUCAAGGGACAGGCUUGGCCGAGUUAGCUGGAUGGAAGGCAGGUGGGACAGCCUGGCCAGAGGCCCAGACCUGUGUGUGUGGGGAAGGGGUGAUGGGAGAUGCAGACUCGGCAGUGCUUGGAACAGGUCUGAAUGCUGCGCCUUGCUAGCCUAAAGAUUUCCACCCAGAAGCCUGACAAAGUCAGAUGUGCGCUUCAGAAAGGCCAGGCGGGCUGCAGUGAAGAGAGUGACUUGAGGGGGUGGGGGACAGGCCAUCGAGGCAAGGGGACCAAAUGGAAAGCUUUGGUCAGGGCACACAUGGUGAUGGAUUUGGGGGAGAAAUGGGGGAGGGUGAUGCAGGCAGAGUGGCCAGUGUUAUCAAGUGGCAUCAUUCACCACAAAAUGCAGUCCAAGAGGAAGCCCAGGUGUGAGGGGGACAGGUGGCAUUCAGACGAAGCCCAGGUGUGAGGGGGACAGGUGGCAUUCAGACGAAGCCCAGGUGUGAGGGGGGACAGGUGGCAUUCAGACGAAGCCCAGGUGUGAGGGGGGACAGGUGGCAUUCAGACGAAGCCCAGGUGUGAGGGGGACAGGUGGCAUUCAGACGAAGCCCAGGUGUGAGGGGGGACAGGUGGCAUUCAGACGAAGCCCAGGUGUGAGGGGGGACAGGUGGCAUUCAGACGAAGCCCAGGUGUGAGGGGGACAGGUGGCAUUCAGACGAAGCCCAGGUGUGAGGGGGACAGGUGGCAUUCAGACGAAGCCCAGGUGUGAGGGGGGACAGGUGGCAUUCAGACGAAGCCCAGGUGUGAGGGGGACAGGUGGCAUUCAGACGAAGCCCAGGUGUGAGGGGGGACAGGUGGCAUUCAGACAAAGCCCAGGUGUGAGGGGGACAGGUGGCAUUCAGACGAAGCCCAGGUGUGAGGGGGGACAGGUGGCAUUCAGACAUGUCAGUACACAGAGAGUCAGUGGCAGAGACAGAGCCAAUGGGGAGUUGGGCCGUGUGGAUAAGGACUUGAGUGAAGACCUAUCUCCAAAGCAGGGGAUCACGCUUCUAAUUUUUUAUAUGGUGUUUUUCAUUUUAUUGUUACUCAUUUGUAAUGAAACCUCUUUUUUUA